UACGGGGGGGGCAAGCGUUGUUCGGAAUUACUGGGCGUAAGGGGCUCGUAGGCGGCCAACUAAGUCAAGCGUGAAAUCCCUCGGCUUAACCGGGGAACUGCGCUUGAUACUGGAUGGCUUGAGAUUGGGAGAGGGAUGCGGAAUUCCAGGUGUAGCGGUGAAAUGCGUAGAUAUCUGGAGGAACACCGGUGGCGAAGGCGGCAUCCUGGACCAACACUGACGCUGAGUGAGCGAAAGCCAGGGGAGCAAACGGG
rnacentral:rRNA from 1 species